UACGUAGGGAGCAAGCGUUGUCCGGAAUCAUUGGGCGUAAAGCGCGCGUAGGCGGCCCGAUAAGUCCGCUGUAAAAGUCAACGGCUCAACUGUUGAAAGCCGGUGGAUACUGUCGGGCUAGAGUACGGAAGAGGCAAGUGGAAUUCCUGGUGUAGCGGUGGAAUGCGCAGAUAUCAGGAGGAACACCAAUAGCGAAGGCAGCUUGCUGGGACGUUACUGACGCUAAGGCGCGAAAGUGUGGGGAGCGAACAGG
rnacentral:rRNA from 1 species